rnacentral:lncRNA from 1 species
AGACCUUGGCAGAGAGCGCCCUGGGAAAUGCGGAUAUAGAAGGUCAGGAGAACAUCUCUCCUGGUUAUACAGCAUUCCAGGUGGGCUUUCAUGUGGUUGAGGAUAAUAUCAUUAGCACCAAAGGUGAAAAUCCGUGGAAGCUCAUCUUAUUUCAGCAGAAGAGUAGGAUGGGCCUUGUGGCACGAGUAAGCCAAACAAGGGAAAGGCAUUCACCAUCAAUUGACUCCUCAUCUGUUUUUAAGAGGGAAAUCUGAGUUUUCAAGGAAAGCCGAAUACAGUUGCCAAGUUGCCAGUCAAAGAAACAAUGUCAACACCUGCUCAUAGAGAUGGAAUUCCUAACCCGGAAUAUUGCCCUUGAAUUACAACGAGAAAAAGCACCUCUUCAAGUGAGAUGGCAGACCACCUCAGGAUGGAAAUGUAUUUCUUCAUCCCCCUCUCUACUUCCCUGUGACCUCCUGCAAAUAAGGGAGAGACAAAGAGAAGAGCAGAAGAACAGAAGAAUGGAGUGGCAAAGAGAAGAGAAGGAGUGACUGAACAUUGACAAGACUUUGGUUGGGGAUGGUCAGAGAGGAGAUUAGCUGCUAGACGGCCACACUGCGGAGAAAGAUCAUUUUCCCACUCCAUCCCCCUUCCAGCUCCCCAUCCAUCUCACCAAGAGCCAGCUCCACCACUCAAUAAAACCUUACAUUCAUCUUUC